rnacentral:snRNA from 1 species
GUGCUCGCUUCGGCAGCAUGUAUACUAAAAUUGGAACGAUACAGAGAAGAUUAGCAUGGGCCUCUGUGCAAGGAUGACACGCAAAUUUGUGAAGCAUGCUCAUAUUUA